GUGUGUUUGUGUGUGUGUGUGUGUGUGUGUGUGUGCGUGUGUGUGCGUGCGUGUGUGUGUGCGCAUGAAAUUAUACAGCAAUCAUCUGAAGACAUUUCAGGACGACGGAAAUACAACAAUCUCCAUUGAGCCCUGACAACAGACUCAGGAUGUCCAUCUGCCUCCACCGGCUUGGGUCAAACACAACAUGCUAAGAAAACUGCCUCAACUCAUGCUCUUCUUGUGUAGAGGACACACAUCACGUCUUCUAAUAUAACGUCUGUGCCUGUUGUGGAAACGAACUCAGCCAUCGCUUCCCAACAUUGUGAAGUUGAGCCAGAAGUGCACUUUAAAAUGAAAAGUGUGAGAAAGGCGCAGUGGAUGUGGCGUCGUGACGACACAAUGGACCCAUUCUUUGCAGCGCUGAAGUGCAACAUCCUUCCUUUUGUUUUCCCCCACGGCUUGUUUUUGUGAAUGAGCGACUGGGUUGAAUCAAGCACCUGCAGCAGAAGCAGGACCAGUGAAAACACAGGUGCUGGAGCAAACGCAGCUCAGGGGAACUUGGACUCAACAAUCACACAGUGGCUUCAUUAAACUUCACUGAUCCUUUAUGACGUUGGUGAGACGGACUCUCAGACUCUGGAUGCAUCCGUGUGCAGCGCAUGCAGUCAAGCAGGGGCGGGGUUCAUCUGUACUGGUUUUACUGAUCGCUCCACAGUCUCCAUCUCGUAAACCCGUUCUCAUUGGAGCGACACCUUCUCUCCACCCUGGAGCGAAACAGUGAACACUGAUGUCAUUCAGUCUAAACUGCAUUCUUUUAGCUUUGGUGACCAAAGAGAAACCAUCCGUUCCUAACUGUUAGAAACCAGUAAGACCAGUAUAAACUCACCAUAGCACCUGUUUGACACUCCCCCACAAAGACCUUUAACUAGCAUUAGUCUCUAGGCCUUAAAAUGGUGCCAGGUCUGUGCUGUUCUUCACAGCGUGGAUGGAGGACGUCUAAAGCAGAGACUGAGGAUCAACAGUGGCUCUGUCUCAUCCUCCAAUAGGUUUGACUGUAUGUUGGUUUACAUGUAUUUUCUGUAAUAUUUACAAUAUUUCAAUUUUCUGCCACAAUUUGAAAAAUGAAUGUCAUGGAUUCUAUAAAUGAAAGCAUUUCUUUGUCUGGACCCAGUUCUUAUGGCAUUCAGCCUCCGUGCCGCUAGGGGCGCUCCUGUGUUUUGUGUGUCAUCACCUGAGUUCGUCUCCUGUAUUCAGUCGACCCACCUGUUAGUAUUGAAGUCAUGCCUUUUGUUUUCACGCUGCUGGUGUGUUGAGCUGUGAACACGGUCAAGCGAAGUUACAGGUUUAAAGAGAGGAGCUUUUUGGAUGGAGUUGAGUUUUGGUUCCCUUUGAUGUCCUGUUCCCUGUGAAGGUUUCACACUGAGAUCAGUGGUUUGUAUUUUACUGUCCACUGUGUUGUGACUGAUUGGACGUGUUCAUGUACUUGGUUGCGAGUUGUAUUGUUUGAAGGCAAAAUGAGUUUUUGCUGCGUAUUUCAGGUCUUCCACUCUCUGAUGCUACAGGUAGUUUGAUAAGACUGGUAAAUCACACUGAGAAGAAGACAAACUGAUAAACAGCGUGUAACCAUGGCAACCUUGGAGGAUUGUUAGCCUGUAAUGAAAAUAAACAAUGCCUGCUUCCACGGGA